GGUGGGUGUGCGUCUCUCUGUUUCUUGAUUUCGACACUUAAAAGUGCAGCAGUAAAGCAAAUGUAAAGCUCUUCACCAAAGGGACCUAACCAACCAACUCUACAUUUACUCCCAACUAAAAUCACCAACCUUCAUUUGUAACACAUCUGAACCCACAUUGAUGAUCCCACAUUGAUGAUGAUGAUUCAUUUACAAAGGAACUCAUCAACUGCAGUGCAGAGGAAGAGUCAAGUUCCUGAUGGCUGAACAUUUCCGGUCAUCGCUCCAACUACGAGCCUCUCCUUUGCUUGGUGCUUC
rnacentral:misc_RNA from 1 species